CUCUGUCGUCUUCAGCAUCCUCACUCAGACCGACACUGAGAAAGAAGAAGAGAAGAUAAUCCUCCAGCAGGUUAUUAUCAACUGAGACGUCUGCAUCAUCUCCAUCAUGAAGACUCUGACUGUGACUGCACUUCUCUGUGCCGUGAUGGCGCUGACCACCGCUGCUACUCUUUCAGAGGUGAAGGAUGUACAGGAAGCUCUGGAAAAACCUGGAGAAGGUAAAUACAUACUUCUUACGUCCUUUUA